rnacentral:rRNA from 1 species
UAGAGUUUGAUCCUGGCUCAGAUUGAACGCUGGCGGUAUGCUUAACACAUGCAAGUCGAACGGUAACAGGCCUUCGGGCGCUGACGAGUGGCGGACGGGUGAGUAACGCGUAGGAAUCUGCCUCAUAGUGGGGGACAACGUGGGGAAACUCACGCUAAUACCGCAUACGCCCUACGGGGGAAAGCGGGGGAUCUUCGGACCUCGCGCUAUGAGAUGAGCCUGCGUUAGAUUAGCUAGUUGGUGAGGUAAUGGCUCACCAAGGCGACGAUCAGUAGCGGGUCUGAGAGGACGAUCAGCCACACUGGGACUGAGACACGGCCCAGACUCCUACGGGAGGCAGCAGUGGGGAAUAUUGGACAAUGGGCGCAAGCCUGAUCCAGCAAUACCGCGUGUGUGAAGAAGGCCCUAGGGUUGUAAAGCACUUUCAAUUGGGAGGAAAACCUGCCGGUCAAUACCCGGUAGCUUGACAUUACCUUUAGAAGAAGCACCGGCUAACUCCGUGCCAGCAGCCGCGGUAAUACGGAGGGUGCAAGCGUUAAUCGGAAUUACUGGGCGUAAAGCGUGCGUAGGCGGUUCGUUAAGUCAGAUGUGAAAGCCCCGGGCUUAACCUGGGAACUGCAUUUGAAACUGGCGGACUAGAGUUGAGUAGAGGGGAGUGGAAUUUCAGGUGUAGCGGUGAAAUGCGUAGAUAUCUGAAGGAACACCAGUGGCGAAGGCGACUCCCUGGACUCAAACUGACGCUGAGGUACGAAAGCGUGGGUAGCAAACAGGAUUAGAUACCCUGGUAGUCCACGCUGUAAACGAUGUCAACUAGCCGUUGGUCCUAUUUACAGGAUUAGUGGCGCAGCUAACGCAUUAAGUUGACCGCCUGGGGAGUACGGCCGCAAGGUUAAAACUCAAAGGAAUUGACGGA